rnacentral:tRNA from 1 species
UAGCUCAGUUGGUAGAGUACUUGCCUUGCAUGCACAAAGCCCUGGGUUCAAUCCCCAG